GUCUUUACUAUAAUGCUAUCCUGUGACUUAGUGCGGGUUGUAAACGUCGUGAUAUUAGGAUCAGGAUCCUCUUCUGAGCAGAUGAAGAGGAUUCUCUGACUAGGCUUAUCGGGCAGUUCAUUUUUUAUUCAACGGUUAUAAUUAUUAUAAUUUUUAGAUAGGCUUUCUUUUUAUAACCGUUGGAUAAAAAAUGAACGGUCUGAUAGGCCCUGGUAAGGAGGAUCCUCUCCAUCUGCUCAGGAGAGGAUCCUGGAUCAGACAAGUGUCACACAUCUUUUCCCCAUCACAAAGUUCCUAGGGUUGCUGGCUUCUGGAAUGAUAGCCACCAUGUCCUCUGAAAGACGACACUCAUGUAAGAGCAAGAGGCGAUCGAGCUACUGACAAAUUAUAGUCACAAUCUAGCUGAAAUUCAAAACCGCUUGGCUGAAAGGGUUUUUGAGAGAUGAGUUUUUCUCCGUCUUCCUCUUUGGUCAUCAAAGGACUUUCUUUUCGCAGGCCCACUUCAAAUCGAAUAGAUGGAAGCUACCAACCCCAUCUCUUGGAAACUUCCAUCUAUUCGGUUUGAAUUCCAGGACAAGAAAAAGCAGAUUUCAAAGGAAAAGCAAAGGAUUUUACACCCACUGCUGCGAAGGUACAUACAAUGUGAUGUUAAAUUUACCCAAUUGUUCGAUUUGGAUAUAGUUCAGAGUUUCUGGGUUUUUGACUUGGUUAAAGUAGUGAUCUUUGUGUCCGUACAGUUGCAGUGGGGAAUGAAAAUUGUCUUGUUAAUUUGUUGCACAGCAAGAUAUUGGCAUAUGCAUGAAGGUUGAUGGUAUUUGUAUGGUUUAGACACACCCACAUGGUUUCGUUAUGUUGUGUGUGCAAUGCAUAAACUCAGUUAGCAGAUUAAAUUAAAACUGAAGAGUUAUGAAAUUUGAGAUGCAUAGCGGCCUAAGUCCACAAAUAAGUUGCCGCACUAAUUCAAUAAAGUUCCAUAACCCUUACUUAAGGCUGAUAAUCCUUGAAUCUCAAAUAGUAUAUCACCAUGUAUGGCCGAUAAGUCAUAUUUGAAGAUUACCACAUAAUCUAUAACCUAAAAAGUUAGAUCCACAGUCCAAACAAAAUUACUAGAAGAUAAAUUUGAUAGUUCAUCACCAGGCUGUUGUACAGUACAUGGCAGAUUAUGAGGCCAAGAAAGAAAUUACAUCGUUUCAAGCACUGAAAUGAAAAACUAUUGCAGUGAGAAAUAAGCAGAUUUUUCUUUGUUAGUGUUAGAUUUAUGCAUAAUAUUUUAGAUUUUGUAAGGAAGAAGAAUUGGAAUUGAAACUUUGGCUUUUGGAUUUUCUGGGAA